AUGCGAAGAUCCCAGCAGGGAGGCAAAUUACUCUUAUUAUUGAGGCCACUCUAACCAUUAAUUUAAUAAUCCUUCGCAUAUUUAAUUGCCGAAUCGUAGGAUGUCCAAAUUUGUUUUGUUUUGGUGCAUCUUGAACCCUCGGCUAUAUCCCA
rnacentral:snoRNA from 2 species